UUAGGGUCUCUUUGUUUCAUAUUACAUUUGUCUGAUUCUUACAGUAAAGCUAUUAGCAUAUGAUGUAAUAAGAGGUGUUGCUAUCAGCUGACUUGUUGCAAAGCCUGACACUUUUAAGGCUAAGAGGGAGUAAUUGGACCAAGGUCACGCAUCUGGUUUCAUGGAUAAAGAAAGUACUAGAACAUGAAUCUCCUUACACCUAUAACUACUCCUUAAACACCAACCACAGCAUUCUGGUUUUCAUCUACAUAAAAGAUCAGGAAUACGAAACAACAGGACUUCUCCCAAGCUGAAUGAUGGAGAGAUUUGUUUCUCCUGGUGAAAAAUAGCUGAUUUUGCUGCCAAAGUGGGUUCUUUGGCAGCUUGCCAAAGAAGCUAGGAAUGACCCCCCCCAAAUGACCCUCGGACAACUGUGGACCCUCCUGAGAAGAAGGAAUCUUGAGGACUGCAAUUCCUGUCUCUCCUGUGAAAACAGCAAAAAAUAUGUGUCCCUAUUGGAAUGGAAGUGAAGAUUUUAUGAAAUGAAGAACAUGGAAUUCAGCAGAUCAGUUCAUUUCUGAGUGAAGAUUUUGCCCUUUGCUAUUAAAUGUGUUUCCAGAUAUGCA